UUCGAUUAGAGUUUGAUCAUGGCUCAGAACGUACGCUGGCGGCACGCCUAACACAUGCAAGUCGAACGAAGUAGCAAUACUUAGUGGCAGACGGGUGAGUAACAUGUAGGUAUCUGCCCUUUGGCCUGGAAUAACACGAGGAAACUUGUGCUAAUACCGGAUAAGUCUUUACGGAGAAAGCUUUAUGCACCAUUGGAUGAGCCUGCACUUGAUUAGUUUGUUGGUGGGGUAAUGGCCUACCAAGACUGUGAUCAAUAGCUGAUUUGAGAGGAUGAUCAGCCACAUUGGGACUGAGACACGGCCCAAACUCCUACGGGAGGCAGCAGUGGGGAAUCUUGCACAAUGGAGGAAACUCUGAUGCAGCGAUGCCGCGUGAGUGAAGAAGGCCUUUGGGUUGUAAAGCUCUUUCGUCGGGGAAGAAAAUGACUGUACCCGAAUAAGAAGGUCCGGCUAACUUCGUGCCAGCAGCCGCGGUAAUACGAAGGGACCUAGCGUAGUUCGGAAUUACUGGGCUUAAAGAGUUCGUAGGUGGUUGAAAAAGUUGGUGGUGAAAUCCCAGAGCUUAACUCUGGAACUGCCAUCAAAACUUUUCAGCUAGAGUAUGAUAGAGGAAAGCAGAAUUUCUAGUGUAGAGGUGAAAUUCGUAGAUAUUAGAAAGAAUACCAAUUGCGAAGGCAGCUUUCUGGAUCAUUACUGACACUGAGGAACGAAAGCAUGGGUAGCGAAGAGGAUUAGAUACCCUCGUAGUCCAUGCCGUAAACGAUGUGUGUUAGACGUUGGAAAUUUAUUUUCAGUGUCGCAGCGAAAGCGAUAAACACACCGCCUGGGGAGUACGACCGCAAGGUUAAAACUCAAAUGAAUUGACGGGGACCCGCACAAGUAGUGGAGCAUGUGGUUUAAUUCGAAGAUACGCGCAGAACCUUACCAACACUUGACAUGUUCGUCGCGACUUUAAGAGAUUAAAGUUUUCGGUUCGGCCGGACGAAACACAGGUGCUGCAUGGCUGUCGUCAGCUCGUGUCGUGAGAUGUUGGGUUAAGUCCCGCAACGAGCGCAACCCUCACUUUUAGUUGCCAUCAUUAAGUUGGGCACUCUGAAAGAACUGCCAGUGAUAAGCUGGAGGAAGGUGGGGAUGACGUCAAGUCCUCAUGGCCCUUACGUGUUGGGCUACACACGUGCUACAAUGGUAUCUACAACAGGAAGCAAGACUGCGAAGUUAAGCAAAUCCUUAAAAGAUACCUCAGUUCGGAUUGCACUCUGCAACUCGAGUGCAUGAAGCUGGAAUUACUAGUAAUCGUGGAUCAGCGUGCCACGGUGAAUGCGUUCCCAGGGUCUUGUACACACCGCCCG
rnacentral:rRNA from 1 species